rnacentral:rRNA from 1 species
CCUACGGGAGGCAGCAGUAGGGAAUAUUGCUCAAUGGUGGCAACCCUGAAGCAGCAACGCCGCGUGGAGGAUGACGGUUUUCUGAUUGUUAACUUCCUUUUUUAGAGAGGAUAAUGACGGUAUGUAACGAAUAUGCACCGUCCCACUUGGUGCCAGCCGCCGUGGUACUACGGCAGGUGCCGGCGUUAUUCGGAAUCACUGGGCGUAAUGCGCGCGUAGGCGGGAUAGCAAGUCUGACGUGAAAUGCUAUGGCUUAACCAUAGAACUGCAGUUGAAACUGUUAUUCUAGAGUCUGGGCAACGUAGGUGGAAUUCUUGGUGUAGGGGUAAAAUCCGUAGAGAUCAAGAGGAAUACUCAUUGCGAAGGCGACCUGCGAGAGCAUAACUGACGCUGAUGCGCGAAGGCGUGGGGAGCGAACAGGAUUAGAUACCCGGGUAGUC